GACGAACGCUGGCGGCGUGCUUAACACAUGCAAGUCGAACGGUAAGGCUCCAGCUUGCUGGGGUACACGAGUGGCGAACGGGUGAGUAACACGUGGGUGACCUGCCCUGCACUUCGGGAUAAGCCUGGGAAACUGGGUCUAAUACCGGAUAGGACCGCACCGUGAGGGUGUGGUGGAAAGUUUUUUCGGUGUGGGAUGGGCCCGCGGCCUAUCAGCUUGUUGGUGGGGUAAUGGCCUACCAAGGCGGCGACGGGUAGCCGGCCUGAGAGGGUGGACGGCCACAUUGGGACUGAGACACGGCCCAGACUCCUACGGGAGGCAGCAGUGGGGAAUAUUGCACAAUGGGCGGAAGCCUGAUGCAGCGACGCCGCGUGGGGGAUGACGGCCUUCGGGUUGUAAACUCCUUUCACCAUCGACGAAGGGUUUCUGACGGUAGAUGGAGAAGAAGCACCGGCUAACUACGUGCCAGCAGCCGCGGUAAUACGUAGGGUGCGAGCGUUGUCCGGAAUUACUGGGCGUAAAGAGCUCGUAGGUGGUUUGUCGCGUCGUCUGUGAAAUUCCGGGGCUUAACUCCGGGCGUGCAGGCGAUACGGGCAUAACUUGAGUACUGUAGGGGAGACUGGAAUUCCUGGUGUAGCGGUGAAAUGCGCAGAUAUCAGGAGGAACACCGGUGGCGAAGGCGGGUCUCUGGGCAGUAACUGACGCUGAGGAGCGAAAGCAUGGGGAGCGAACAGGAUUAGAUACCCUGGUAGUCCAUGCCGUAAACGGUGGGCGCUAGGUGUGGGUUUCCUUCCACGGGAUCCGUGCCGUAGCUAGCGCAUUAAGCGCCCCGCCUGGGGAGUACGGCCGCAAGGCUAAAACUCAAAGGAAUUGACGGGGGCCCGCACAAGCGGCGGAGCAUGUGGAUUAAUUCGAUGCAACGCGAAGAACCUUACCUGGGCUUGACAUAUACAGGAUCGCGCCAGAGAUGGUGUUUCCCUUGUGGCUUGUAUACAGGUGGUGCAUGGUUGUCGUCAGCUCGUGUCGUGAGAUGUUGGGUUAAGUCCCGCAACGAGCGCAACCCUUGUCUUAUGUUGCCAGCACGUUGUGGUGGGGACUCGUAAGAAACUGCCGGGGUUAACUCGGAGGAAGGUGGGGAUGACGUCAAAUCAUCAUGCCCCUUAUGUCCAGGGCUUCACACAUGCUACAAUGGUCGGUACAGUGGGUUGCCAGUCCGUGAGGGCGAGCUAAUCCCGCAAAGCCGGUCUCAGUUCGGAUCGGGGUCUGCAACUCGACCCCGUGAAGUCGGAGUCGCUAGUAAUCGCAGAUCAGCAACGCUGCGGUGAAUACGUUCCCGGGCCU
rnacentral:rRNA from 1 species